GACGAACGCUGGCGGCGUGCUUAACACAUGCAAGUCGAGCGGUAAGGCCCCUUCGGGGGUACACGAGCGGCGAACGGGUGCGUAACACGUGAGCAAUCUGCCCAUCACAUCGGGAUAACUCCGGGAAACCGAAGCUAAUACCGAAUACGACCACCUCCGGCAUCGGAUGGUGGUGGAAAGUUCCGGCGGUGAUGGAUGAGCUCGCGGCCUAUCAGCUUGUUGGUGGGGUAACGGCCCACCAAGGCUUCGACGGGUAGCCGGCCUGAGUGGGUGACCGGCCACACUGGGACUGAGACACGGCCCAGACUCCUACGGGAGGCAGCAGUGGGGAAUAUUGGACAAUGGGCGAAAGCCUGAUCCAGCAACGCCGCGUGAGGGAUGACGGCCUUCGGGUUGUAAACCUCUUUCAGCAGGGACGAAGCGCAAGUGACGGUACCUGCAGAAGAAGCACCGGCCAACUACGUG
rnacentral:rRNA from 1 species